GCCUUCAUAGCUCAGCGGUAGAGCGCGACACUAGUAAAGCCAGCCAACUCUCAAAAUGAGAAAAAGCUAUCAUACUACUGGAAUGUCGAGGUCUUGAGUUCGACUCUCAAUGGAGGCA